rfam:Anopheles christyi strain ACHKN1017 cont1.3712, whole genome shotgun sequence.
ACGACAUGGCUAUCGGUGACUAUCCGGCAGAAUAUAAUCCAAAGGUCCAUGGACCCUAUGACCCGGCUCGUUUCUACGGAAAGCCCGAUACUCCGUU